rnacentral:misc_RNA from 1 species
GGAAGGAUCAUUCACACGUGUCGAUUAUUCGAUUUAUCAUGAUCACUAACUGAACUCGUUACUCGCCGGCUUGGCCAUAUUCGUUCAGCAGGAGGGGAGCAAUUGAUUUUGCAACCGUUGUGGUGAAUGGGUAUGUGCUGGGUUAGUGGGGCCACACCGUUCGGUGUGAUCACGUUUUUUUAAGCGCUGGUUUAAACUAUUGUACUUUCAGCAAUGGACGUCUUGGUUCCCAAUUCGAUGAAGGACGCAGCAAAUUGCGAUAUGCAGUGCGAAUUGCAGAAAUCUGUGAACUAUCAGACCUCUGAACGCACACGGCACUGUUGAGGCAAGUUUUCGCAGUGUGUUUGGCUCAGUGUUUAUCUCUGACAAUAGAAGAUGCGAGAGCUGGCGUCGGGCGAUCCCGCUGAGGUUUUGGCUUCAGUGGUGGGCUACGUCGUCGUAAAAUUAUUUUUGUCCGCUGUUAUUCUCACAAAGGGGUUAGGAGCAUUCCAAGCGUUUUCGUGAGUGCAGUUGGUACGGAAAGUGUUUUAAAACGUUUUUUCUAAAUGACCUGAGCUCAAGCAAGGCAACCCGCUGAAUUUAAGCAUAUAAUUAAGCGGAGGAAAAGAAACUAAAUAGGAUUUUCUUAGUAAUGGCGAAUGAACAGGGAAUAGCUCAAAAUGAAAAUCACGCGCGCACACUGCGCCGGAAUUGUAGUCUGAAGAAGUGUUUCCAGUGGACGUCACAGAGAAGAAGUCUCUUGAAAGAGAACGCCAGGGAGGGUGAGAGUCCCGUCGCUGCUCUGCAGCACGUCCACAUACGGAGCAUUUUCAUAGAGUCGCGUUUCUUGGGAGUGAAACGCAAAGUUGGUGGUAAACUUCAUCUAAGGCUAAAUAGUUUAUGGGAAACCGAUAGCGAAAAAGUACCUUGAGGGAAAGAUGAAAAGGACUUUGGAAAGAGAGUUAAAAUUUCCCGAAAUUGCUGAAAAGGAAGCGGUUGAAAUGCAAAGUGCAAACCUGGAAGAAUAGCAGACUGGGGCUUUGUCGUUGUCGUCCUCUAGCUUUUUGGGACGGCUCGUAUUUGUUUCGGGCAGCUUGCCUUCUAGGUCGUGUCAGCUGCGGUUGGUACUUUCAUGUGGAGGCUCAGUGAGGAAUCUUUAGGGAUUACUUUCGUUGGGCCGUUUCCAAAGGAAGGCAUCGACCGACGCAGGCGCAUGCUGUUUACAGCAUGUUAAGUAGCUGAUAUCAGAAUUUCCACCGGCCCGUCUUGAAACACGGAUCAAGGAGUCCAACACAUGUGCGUGUCCGUGGGUACGCAAUCCUAUGGGCGAAAUGAAAGUGAAAGGUUCCCUUUCUGGAACGACCGACCACAAUCGUUGAGCGAGGUUUGAGUAUGAGCAUGUCUGUUGGGACCCGAAAGAUGGUGAACUAUUCCUGAAUAGGGUGAAGCCAGGGGAAACCCUGGUGGAGGCUCGUAGCGAUACUGACGUGCAAAUCGUUCGUCAAAUUUGGGUAUAGGGGCGAAAGACUAAUCGAACCAUCUAGUAGCUGGUUCCCUC